rnacentral:rRNA from 1 species
UACGAAGGGGGCUAGCGUUGCUCGGAAUCACUGGGCGUAAAGCGCACGUAGGCGGAUUGUUAAGUCAGGGGUGAAAUCCUGGAGCUCAACUCCAGAACUGCCCUUGAUACUGGCGGUCUCGAGUCCGGGAGAGGUGAGUGGAACUGCGAGUGUAGAGGUGAAAUUCGUAGAUAUUCGCAAGAACACCAGUGGCGAAGGCGGCUCACUGGCCCGGUACUGACGCUGAGG